GAUGAACGCUGGCGGCGUGCUCAACACAUGCAAGUCGAACGGUAAGGCCCUUCGGGGUACACGAGUGGCGAACGGGUGAGUAACACGUGGGUGAUCUGCCCUGCACUUCGGGAUAAGCCUGGGAAACUGGGUCUAAUACCGGAUAGGACCACUGCCUGCAUGGGUGGUGGUGGAAAGCUUUUGCGGCGUGGGAUGGGCCCGCGGCCUAUCAGCUUGUUGGUGGGGUGAUGGCCUACCAAGGCGACGACGGGUAGCCGGCCUGAGAGGGUGACCGGCCACACUGGGACUGAGAUACGGCCCAGACUCCUACGGGAGGCAGCAGUGGGGAAUAUUGCACAAUGGGCGCAAGCCUGAUGCAGCGACGCCGCGUGAGGGAUGACGGCCUUCGGGUUGUAAACCUCUUUCAGCACCGACGAAGCGCAAGUGACGGUAGGUGCAGAAGAAGGACCGGCCAACUACGUGCCAGCAGCCGCCGCGG
rnacentral:rRNA from 1 species